GAUGAACGCUAGCGGCAGGCUUAAUACAUGCAAGUCGAGGGACAGCACAGGUAGGAAUACUGGGUGGUAACCGGCAAACGGGUGCGGAACACGUACACAACCUUCCUUUAAGUGGGGGAUAGCCCAGAGAAAUUUGGAUUAAUACCCCGUAAUAUAGUUGAAUGGCAUCAUUUGAUCAUUAUAGCUACGGCGCUUAAUGAUGGGUGUGCGGCUGAUUAGAUAGUUGGCGGGGUAACGGCCCACCAAGUCUACGAUCAGUAGCUGAUGUGAGAGCAUGAUCAGCCACACGGGCACUGGGACACGGGCCCGACUCCUACGGGAGGCAGCAGUAAGGAAUAUUGGUCAAUGGACGCAAGUCUGAACCAGCCAUGCCGCGUGAAGGAUUAAGGUCCUCUGGAUUGUAAACUUCUUUUAUUUGGGACGAAAAAGGGCCUUUCUAGGUCAACUGACGGUACCAGAUGAAUAAGCACCGGCUAACUCCGUGCCAGCCGCCGCCGUAAGAC
rnacentral:rRNA from 1 species